rnacentral:rRNA from 1 species
GAUUACUCCUACGGGAGGCAGCAGUAAGGAAUAUUGGACAAUGGGCGCAAGCCUGAUCCAGCCAUGCCGCGUGAAGGAUGAAGGCCCUAUGGGUCGUAAACUUCUUUUAUACGGGAAAAAACCCCUCGAUGCGUUGAGGGUUGAUGGUACUGUAAGAAUAAGGGUCGGCUAACUUCGUGCCAGCAGCCGCGGUAAUACGAAGGACCCGAGCGUUAUCCGGAUUUAUUGGGUUUAAAGGGUGCGUAGGCGGAUUAGUAAGUCAGUGGUGAAAGCCCAUCGCUUAACGGUGGAACUGCCAUUGAUACUGCUAGUCUUGAGUAUGGUUGAGGUGGGCGGAAUGUGUCAUGUAGCGGUGAAAUGCUUAGAUAUGACACAGAACACCAAUUGCGAAGGCAGCUCGCUAAACCAUAACUGACGCUGAGGCACGAAAGCGUGGGGAGCAAACAGGAUUAGAUACCCUGGUAGUCCACGCCCUAAACGAUGAUAACUCGUUGUUGGCGAUACACAGCGACAACGAAAGCAUUAAGUUAUCCCCUGGGAAGGGCCACCGCAAGGUUGAAAACUCAAAGGGAAUUGACGGGGGCCCGCACAAGCGGAGGAGCAUGUGGUUUAAUUCGAUGAUACGCGAGGAACCUUACCUGGGCUUGAAAGUUAGCGACCGGUCCUGAAAGGGGCCUUCCCGCAAGGGCGCGAAACUAGGUGCUGCAUGGCUGUCGUCAGCUCGUGCCGUGAGGUGUUGGGUUAAGUCCCGUAACGAGCGCAACCCCUAUCAUUAGUUGCCAUCAGGUCAUGCUGGGGACUCUAAUGAGACUGCCCGCGCAAGCGGUGAGGAAGGUGGGGACGACGUCAAGUCAUCACGGCCCUUACGUCCAGGGCUACACACGUGCUACAAUGGUAGAUACAGCAGGUUGCCACAUGGUAACAUGGAGCUAAUCCCUAAAGUCUAUCUCAGUUCGGAUUGAGGUCUGCAACUCGACCUCAUGAAGCUGGAUUCGCUAGUAAUCGGAAAUCAGCAAUGUUCCGGUGAAUACCUUCCCGGGCCUUGUACACACCGAAUCACUAGU